CAAUAUAAGUGAUGGCGACCGGCGCACGGGUGAGUAACACGUAUUCAACCUGCCGAUAACUCGGGGAUAGCCUUUCGAAAGAAAGAUUAAUACCCGAUGGUAUAAUAAAACCGCAUGGUUUAAUUAUUAAAGAAUUUCGGUUAUCGAUGGGGAUGCGUUCCAUUAGGCAGUUGGUGAGGUAACGGCUCACCAAACCUUCGAUGGAUAGGGGUUCUGAGAGGAAGGUCCCCCACAUUGGAACUGAGACACGGUCCAA
rnacentral:rRNA from 1 species